rnacentral:tRNA from 1 species
CCUGAUGGCUCAGAUGGUAAAGAGUCUGCCUGCAAUGCAGGAGACCCAGGUUCAAUCCCUGGGUCAGGA